rnacentral:rRNA from 1 species
UCAAGCUACUAAGGGCAUACGGUGGAUGCCUAGGCGCCAAGAGCCGAAGAAGGACGCGGUAAGCUGCGAAAAGCCACGGGGAACUGCAAGCAAGUAUUGAUCCGUGGAUAUCCGAAUGGGGAAACCCGGCCAUCGUCAUGGAUGGUCACCCGCAAGGGAGGGAACCUGGGGAACUGAAACAUCUAAGUACCCGGAGGAAGAGAAAUCAAACGAGAUGCCCACAGUAGCGGCGAGCGAAGAGGGCAGAGCCCAAACCGAGAAGCUCCGGCUUUUCGGGGUUGAGGACCGGCAGAAUCGAAGUCAGGCCUAGUCGAAUUACCUGGAAAGGUAAGCGAGAGAGGGUAAAAGCCCCGUAGACGAAAGGCAGAGCAGAGAGGCCGAGAUCCAGAGUACCACGAAGCACGAGGAAUUUUGUGGGAAGCAGGGGGGACCACCCUCCAAGGCUAAAAACUACUUGGCGACCGAUAGCGCAUAGUACCGUGAGGGAAAGGUGAAAAGAACCCCGGGAGGGGAGUGAAAUAGUACCUGAAACCGUAUGUCUACAAGCAGUCGAAGCGAAAGCGACGGCGUGCCUAUUGAAGAAUGAACCAACGAGUUAUCUGCACUAGCGAGGUUAAGUGGAAGACACGGAGCCGCAGCGAAAGCGAGUCUUAAGAGGGCGCUAGUUAGUGUAGGUAGACCCGAAACCGCAGUGAUCUACCCAUGUCCAGGUUGAAGCGCAGGUAAAAUUGCGUGGAGGACCGAACCGGUGAGCGUUGAAAAGCUUUCGGAUGAGAUGUGGGUAGGGGUGAAAUUCCAAUCGAACGCGGAGAUAGCUGGUUCUCCCCGAAAUAGCUUUAGGGCUAGCCUGAGGUAGUAAGUAUAGGCGGUAGAGCACUGAUCGGGCUAGGGGCCGUAAAGGUUACCGAACCCUGUCAAACUCCGAAUGGAUAUACUGUAGAGCCUUGGAGUCAGACUACGAGUGAUAAGAUCCGUGGUCAAAAGGGAAACAGCCCAGACCACCAGCUAAGGUCCCCAAUGUCGUACUAAGUGGAAAAGGAUGUGGGGUUUCAUAAACAACCAGGAUGUUGGCUCAGAAGCAGCCACCAUUUAAAGAGUGCGUAAUAGCUCACUGGUCGAGAGACCCUGCGCCGAAGAUUCCCGGGGCUAAAGUACGAAACCGAAGCUGUGGCUGUAUACGUAAAGUAUACGGGGUAGGGGAGCGUUCCCAUAGGGUAGAAGUCGAACUGGAAGGUUCGGUGGACUUGUGGGAAGUGAGAAUGUUGGUAUGAGUAGCGAAAAGAAAGGUGAGAAUCCUUUCCACCGAAAGCAUAAGGAUUCCUGAGCAACGAUCGUCGUCUCAGGGUAAGUCGGGACCUAAUCCGAGGCAGAGAGCGUAGGAGAUGGACAACUGGUUGAUAUUCCAGUACCGGUAGUAAUUGUUUGAGCAAUGGAGUGACACAGAAGGGCAGGCAAGCAUGCGAAUGGAAGAGCAUGUGUAAGCGUGUAGGGUGGUGCAUAGGCAAAUCCGUGCACUGAAAGCCUGAGGCGUGAUGCGGAGUGAGCAGAGAUGCGAGCGAAGUUGUUGACCCCACACUGUCGAGAAAAGCUUCUAGUGAGAGAGCUACCGCCCGUACCGUAAACCGACACAGGUAUGCGGGGAGAGAAUCCUAAGGUGCGCGGGAGAACCCUCGUUAAGGAACUCGGCAAAAUGUACCCGUAACUUCGGGAUAAGGGUAGCCACUGUUGUGAAGUCCCAUGCGGAUGGAGCAUAGAGUGGUCGCAGAGAAGAGGCCCAAGCGACUGUUUACCAUAAACACAGGUGCCUGCUAAAGCGAAAGCUGACGUAUAGGUGCUGACACCUGCCCGGUGCUGGAAGGUUAAGAGGAGGGGUUAGACUUCGGCCGAAGCUCUGAAUUGAAGCCCCAGUAAACGGCGGCCGUAACUAUAACGGUCCUAAGGUAGCGAAAUUCCUUGUCGGGUAAGUUCC